GACGAACGCUGGCGGCGUGCUUAACACAUGCAAGUCGAACGGAAAGGCCCUGCUUUUGUGGGGUGCUCGAGUGGCGAACGGGUGAGUAACACGUGAGUAACCUGCCCUUGACUUUGGGAUAACUUCAGUAAACUGGGGCUAAUACCGGAUAGGAGCUCCUGCUGCAUGGUGGGGGUUGGAAAGUUUCGGCGGUUGGGGAUGGACUCGCGGCUUAUCAGCUUGUUGGUGGGGUAGUGGCUUACCAAGGCUUUGACGGGUAGCCGGCCUGAGAGGGUGACCGGCCACAUUGGGACUGAGAUACGGCCCAGACUCCUACGGGAGGCAGCAGUGGGGAAUAUUGCACAAUGAGCGGAAGCCUGAUGCAGCAACGCCGCGUGCGGGAUGACGGCCUUCGGGUUGUAAACCGCUUUCGCCUGUGACGAAGCGUGAGUGACGGUAAUGGGUAAAGAAGCACCGGCUAACUACGUG
rnacentral:rRNA from 1 species